rnacentral:lncRNA from 1 species
UAAAAAAUCCAAAUUAAAAAAAAAAUUAACUAGGGCAUAUGAAAUUUUCUUUGUCCAGAUAACAGGAGCCACCUAGAAUGCCAGAAUACUUCAGCUUCCUAGAGGAAUGAGGAUACCAGGCAUUCCCCACCUGCUCCUUUCAGAUUUGGGAUUUCCUUUUUUGCUUACAAUGCCCCAAUACAAGAUAAGAAGAGUAGGAAUACAAAAAGAGCCACUGUACAGUGCUAAAGGAACAUCGAACUUGAACUGCAAAGUGCCAAAUGAGGACAAAAAGAUUACAUCGAUAAAACUAUUAAUUAUCCUUUUCUGAAAUUUCAUAAUCCAUGGU